AAGAAAGUGGCAGAGUGGUUAUGUGGCUGGCUUGAAACCAGUUUAUGGGGGUUCAAUUCCUUCCUUUCUCG
rnacentral:tRNA from 2 species